ACCUGGCUGGCUCAGUCCAUAGAACAUGGGACUCUUGAUCUCGAGGUUAUGAGUUCAAGCCCCAUGUUGGGUA
rnacentral:tRNA from 1 species